GGGACCGGCACCCGUACCCAGCGUUCGCCGGGUGGGAAAAUCAGGCAAGGCGGGAGGCUCUGCACGGUGCUAGGCCUCGACACCCAACACGCCACUCUGAGACCGCACACUAUUCUAACAAGUGUCUACGUGGCUUUCCCGCAUGGCGUUGAUUUUGGAGAUGCUUUGAUGGCAUAUCACCACGCUGGUCAGUUUGGGUUUGGUGAACGUCCGUGGGUCGAGGUCCGUGGACUGGAUCAGAUGCCGCUCGCCGCUGGUGUUACCCAUGGCCAGGAAUCAAAC